CUCGCACGUUUCGUGAAUGGUUCCCUGGAUCAUCCUCCUCUUCACCAUGCGGCAGCAGCUCCCCUCCUCCUCUCCACCACAGUGCAGCAGCAUGUCUCCUCCCCCUCCUCCCCUAGAGCACUUUUCUGCAGUAGCAAAACCCCAGCUGCUAGGUUCAUCCAGUUGUAUUACUAGGAGGACAGCAAUACAUAUCAACUCUUGGGAAGCCGUUUCCCAAUAUUUCAAUGGUUGCCUCUCGAGGAGUAGGUGCUUUUGGAGAAAUUAAAGGCCAGAUGCAUCCAGAGUGUUGUGGAGUUGGAGCACAAAUUGAAGAUCUGAGACAGAAAACAAACGGGGCAACAAAGCUGGAGGUAGGAACUGGAACUAUAUUGUGCACUAGAUGAAUGGUUGAAGGUGGCAUCUCCACAAUAACAGAUUAUUAUUUUGUGACUUCUUUCCUGCAAUGAAGAAGGAAGAAAAAUCAGCAGGCAUGACUUCUUUCCUGCAAUGAAGAAGGAAGAAAAAUCAGCAGGCAUACUUGUAGCUUACAUGUAUUUUGGUUUCAAUCAGCUACAGUAUGCAAAAGCGAUGUUUCCCAAGGCUUGGAUGGCAUCCCAUGUCUAGAGUUACACCUCCAGCACCUUUGACCCUACAAUUGGCUGCGCCCUUGCCGAUGAAACUGCCAAGGCCAAUGAGGGAGCAGGCAAAUAACAUGAUUGCUCUUCAAUUUUGUUUAUAUUCAUUUGCCAGGCCGAGUCAGUUUGAGGAGCAACCUUUCUCAUGGUCACUGUGCAUUACCUUCGACUUCCCCUCCCCUUUUCACUAGGACAGUCCUUUCAUUGCAUCUCCCUUGCGACAAAAGUACAUGCCUUAGAAUGCCCAAUUUAACCAAUAAGCGUACAUACAUUAUAAAUACCCAAGCAUACAUACAUUUAUGAUUCCCCAAAUUAUUAUUUUUAUUGCUUGAACUGUUUUAGCAUUCUAAAAAGGAACAAUGCGUUCCUGCUUGAUGUACAUAGAUUGGAACUGCUCUAGGAUCUAUAUGUGAAAACUGCAAGAACAUGAUGAGAAUUUGCUUUACAUCAUCUAGAAGAUCUGCAAGGUCAUUGUACAACCUUUUAGAAUCUUGUUUAGCACUGUGAGCAUUUUUUGGUCCUUCA